AGAGUUUGAUCAUGGCUCAGAGCGAACGCUGGCGGCAGGCUUAACACAUGCAAGUCGAGCGGGCGUAGCAAUACGUCAGCGGCAGACGGGUGAGUAACGCGUGGGAACGUACCUUUUGGUUCGGAACAACACAGGGAAACUUGUGCUAAUACCGGAUAAGCCCUUACGGGGAAAGAUUUAUCGCCGAAAGAUCGGCCCGCGUCUGAUUAGCUAGUUGGUAGGGUAAUGGCCUACCAAGGCGACGAUCAGUAGCUGGUCUGAGAGGAUGAUCAGCCACAUUGGGACUGAGACACGGCCCAAACUCCUACGGGAGGCAGCAGUGGGGAAUAUUGGACAAUGGGGGCAACCCUGAUCCAGCCAUGCCGCGUGAGUGAUGAAGGCCCUAGGGUUGUAAAGCUCUUUUGUGCGGGAAGAUAAUGACGGUACCGCAAGAAUAAGCCCCGGCUAACUUCGUGCCAGCAGCCGCGGUAAUACGAAGGGGGCUAGCGUUGCUCGGAAUCACUGGGCGUAAAGGGUGCGUAGGCGGGUCUUUAAGUCAGGGGUGAAAUCCUGGAGCUCAACUCCAGAACUGCCUUUGAUACUGAAGAUCUUGAGUUCGGGAGAGGUGAGUGGAACUGCGAGUGUAGAGGUGAAAUUCGUAGAUAUUCGCAAGAACACCAGUGGCGAAGGCGGCUCACUGGCCCGAUACUGACGCUGAGGCACGAAAGCGUGGGGAGCAAACAGGAUUAGAUACCCUGGUAGUCC
rnacentral:rRNA from 1 species